CAAUAAGUCCAGCAUAGCCCAAAGACACAUAAACUAAUGAAAAUUAUUAACCCACUUGCUGCUGUCUUAACAUAUGCCAGGUACAAAACAAACAUCCUGCAGUUUCAAGGCAGUUUAUUUUGGUCCUAGGAAGCAUGUUAUGUAUCUCACUUCCCAGGAAGACAAUGCAGUUCUGUGACAUGAUGUUACAGUACAGAUGGAGUACUGGUUCAUUGCAUAAUGGUCUGGUGUUGGAGAAUUCAAACAUGAGCUGUCUCUAUAGAUUGGAAAUGCCUGUCUUGCACCAUUUCCAGAAUAUGGAGUUCUGAGGUGUCCAAGACACACUGUUCUGCUUUUAAUCAGGCCAAACACAUAUAAAUGUAGCCAUUUUAAGGAAUGCAACCUGAUGACUUGCCAGAGUCUGCACUGUAAUCUAUGCACCUUUCUUGGUGCUGUGUCAUCUCAAGAAUUAUCUAAAAAUACUACCUUAACUGUACUUACUAGUAAGUCACUGGGAACAGAACAGACUUCCAGUUUUAGGAUGAAGCUUUUGUGACCAAUCUCUCAGGAAAAGUUGGGAACAAGAGAUCUUUGUUUCCUGACCUGACCAGUUUUACCAUUGCUAUUCCUCACCCACUACUCCAAAGGCACCAUUCUCUCAUGGAGAGUCAUGCUCAGUGAGGGAAAAGCUGCAUUUAAUCAAGCUCAUGUUCAGCAAGUUAAAAGCUUUGAAGAAUAAGACUGAAGCUGGGUAGGAAAUUAUUUUUCAUUCCUGGAUAUUCUUAUUAUACUAGUAAUUGUUAUCUAAACAAAAAUUAGUAAUGUGAUGCCAUUGCAAAGUGAUAAUUUUCUGGGGUGUCUACCCUGUGAAAGUCACAGGAGGUAAUUCUUUGAUUACAUUUCUCAAGCUUUGGGAGUAGACUGAAGUAUGUAGGCUUCAAGAAUUCACAGGCAGACUGAAGAGAUUUUUGCUCAUGAAGAAUGUUAAAAGGAAAAAGGUUUGUUUAGGUAAGAGCAGGCAGAAGGAGAACAUAAUACAUUUGUUCUUUUCCUUACCUUUGUUUAUCUAUUUUUUCCUAGUUUAAAUCAAUCACAAGCAAUGCCUUAAGUUUUCAGUUUCUCUGUUCUUUGGUGUGUGGCUUUUUAUCCAGGGUUACUAGGAUCUUUUCACAGGGUGAAGACACAACAAUUCUAUUCCACUUGGGGACUCAAGGACAAUUUUUUCAAACUUCAGGCUCGAAGUAUAAACAACGUGAAAAGGAGGGCAGGGAAGCAAGACUCCUGUAUGCAGAUGGACUGAAACAUAUAAAAAUGUGAGAUCUCGUGGCUAGGUUCUCCUUUUGCUUCCAUCUUGGACCCCUCCAGACAGAGCCCCAGUUGUAGCACUGGUACGGCCUGGGUGUGGACUUUAAAGGCCUCAGUAAAUAUUCUUUAUUCCUCUUAACCCUGCCUAGUCUCUGUUCCAUCUCCUCAAGGAAUCAAAGGCAUUGUGACUUCUAGGACUUAUUCCACCUGAGGCAUCUGGAAGCACUAGCUGCCAGACUGUCCUUUUCCUGGGCUCCAGCAGCAGCAAUGGCAGCAGCAUCCUUGCUGGUAAUUUGACCAGAGACUGGAAAGAAGUAGGCAGCUCCUUUUGGAGGCAGUGGAAAUGGGGCUUGAACAUUAGAAUAAAUAUUAGAAUAAACUCCCUGAACCUAGUAAA
rnacentral:lncRNA from 1 species